rnacentral:rRNA from 1 species
UACGGAGGGUGCGAGCGUUGUCCGGAAUCACUGGGCGUAAAGGGCGCGUAGGCGGCCUGAUAAGUAGGGGGUAAAAUCCUGUGGCUUAACCGCAGGGCUGCCUUCUAAACUGUCGGGCUAGAGCACAGUAGAGGCAGGUGGAAUUCCCGGUGUAGUGGUGAAAUACGUAGAGAUUGGGAAGAACACCAGUGGCGAAGGCGGCUAUCUGGACGGUUUCUGACGCUAAGACGCGAAAGCGUGGGGAGCAAACAGG